rnacentral:rRNA from 1 species
ACAGGUGCUGCAUGGCUGUCGUCAGCUCGUGUCGUGAGAUGUUGGGUUAAGUCCCGCAACGAGCGCAACCCUCAUUUUUAGUUGCCAUCAGGUUAUGCUGGGCACUCUAGAAAAACUGCCGGUGAUAAGCUGGAGGAAGGCGGGGAUGACGUCAAGUCCUCAUGGCCCUUACGGUCUGGGCUACACACGUGCUACAAUGGUGGUGACAGAGGGCAGCAAUAUCGCAAGAUAAAGCUAAUCCCAAAAAACCAUCUCAGUUCGGAUUGGACUCUGCAACUCGAGUCCAUGAAGUUGGAAUCGCUAGUAAUCGUAGAUCAGCGUGCUACGGUGAAUACGUUCUCGGGCCUUGUACACACCGCCCGUCACGCCAUGGGAGUUGGUUUUA